AGGGUUCGAUCAUGGCUCAGAACGUACGCUGGCGGCACGCCUAACACAUGCAAGUCGAACGAAGUAGCAAUACUUAGUGGCAGACGGGUGAGUAACAUGUAGGUAUCUACCCUUUGGCCUGGAAUAACACGAGGAAACUUGUGCUAAUACCGGAUAAGUCUUUACGGAGAAAGCUUUAUGCACCAUUGGAUGAGCCUGCACUUGAUUAGUUUGUUGGUGGGGUAAUGGCCUACCAAGACUGUGAUCAAUAGCUGAUUUGAGAGGAUGAUCAGCCACAUUGGGACCGAGACACGGCCCAAACUCCUACGGGAGGCAGCAGUGGGGAAUCUUGCACAAUGGAGGAAACUCUGAUGCAGCGAUGCCGCGUGAGUGAAGAAGGCCUUUGGGUUGUAAAGCUCUUUCGUCGGGGAAGAAAAUGACUGUACCCGAAUAAGAAGGUCCGGCUAACUUCGUGCCAGCAGCCGCGGUAAUA
rnacentral:rRNA from 1 species